GGAAUAUUCGUCAAUGGGGGAAACCCUGAACGAGCAAUGCCGCGUGAACGAUGAAGGCCCUAUGGGUUGUAAAGUUCUGUUGUUUGGAAAGAACUGUGAGAUUAGGAAAUGAGUCUCACUUGACGGUACCAUUCAAGAAAGCCACGGCUAACUACGUGCCAGCAGCCGCGGUAAUACGUAGGUGGCGAGCGUUAUCCGGAUUUAUUGGGCGUAAAGGGUGCGUAGGCGGUCUGUUAAGUAUAGAAUUAAAGCCCGAAGCUUAACUUCGGUUCGUUCUAUAAACUGGCAGGCUUGAGUACAGUAGAGGCAAAUGGAAUUCCUAGUGUAGUGGUAAAAUGCGUAGAUAUUAGGAGGAACACCAGUGGCGAAGGCGAUUUGCUGGGCUGUUACUGACGCUGAGGCACGAAAGCGUGGGGAGCAAAUA
rnacentral:rRNA from 1 species